UUCUUGACUAUUAAGGCGUUUGCCAGCCGAGAGAAAGGCUUAAAAACGCACAGAACACAAGAAUGCAUUGGUUAACAGUGUUACCUAAAACUAGCACCUCAGGAAAGUACAUUUAUCCUUUUCAUGAUGGUAUCAUGGUUUGUGAAUAGUUUUCAAACCUUUUUUGUUCAAACUAAGUUUUGGUGCUUUCUUGACUAUUAAGGUGUUUGCAGGCCGAGAGAACGCCUAAAAACGCACAGAACACAAGAAUGCAUUGGUUAACAGUGUUUUCCUAAGUCUAGCACCUCAGGAAAGUACAUUUAGCCUUUUCAUGAUAGUAUCAUGGUUUGUGAAUAGUUUUCCAACCUUUUUUGUUCAAACUAAGUUUUGGUGCAUUCUUGACUAUUAAGGCGUUUUCAGGCCGAGAGACGGCUUAAAAACGCACAGAACACAAGAAUGCAUUGGUUAGCAGUGUUUUCCUAAAUCUAGCACCUCAGGAAAGUACAUUUAGCCUUUUCAUGAUGGUAUCAUGGUUUGUGAAUAGUUUUCCAACCUUUUUUGUUCAAACUAAGAUUUGUGGUGCAUUCUUGACUAUUAAGGCGUUUGCAGGCCGAGAGAAAGCUGA
ensembl:lncRNA